rnacentral:rRNA from 1 species
AUUGAACGCUAGCGGGAUGCUUUACACAUGCAAGUCGAACGGCAGCGCGGACUUCGGUCUGGCGGCGAGUGGCGAACGGGUGAGUAAUGUAUCGGAACGUGCCCAGUAGCGGGGGAUAACUACGCGAAAGCGUAGCUAAUACCGCAUACGCGCUACGGGGGAAAGCAGGGGAUCGUAAGACCUUGCACUCUUUGGGCGGCCGAUAUCGGAUUAGAUAGUUGGUGAGGUAACGGCUCACCAAGGAGACGAUCCGUAGCUGGUUUGAGAGGACGACCAGCCACACUGGAACUGGGACACGGCCCAGACUCCUGCGGGAGGCAGCAGUGGGGAAUUUUGGACAAUGGGGGCAACCCUGAUCCAGCCAGCCCGCGUGUGCGAUGAAGGCCUUCGGGUUGUAAAGCACUUUUGGCGGGAAAGAAACGUCGCGGGCUAAUACCCCGUGGAACUGACGGUACCUGCAGAAUAAGCACCGGCUAACUACGUG